ensembl:piRNA 21ur-5096 ncRNA
UAAAAGGGCAUUUGAACUUAA